UGGUGGAGGUGCAUCCUAAUCCGGUCACUGGUUAACUGGCAGUGUCUUAUUGGCUCAAAGAAUUUCUCUCCAGGUUUGUCUCAGUCGGCUCCUUCUACUCAGGUGAAGGACUUGUUUGGUUCCACAUCACCACUGCCUUGAAAAGGAAACCAUACGAGGUGAUACAAGUCAGCUUUGAAGAGAAACUGAGGUGGUGUCUGGACCAUGCAUUCCUUGGGCUGCUUUCAAAGGGCUUUUAUCCUUGUAUUUGCCGAAAGUAAAAGGGCAAGGGAGAGGUGGUUCUUUCCUUCUUCACUGUCAGGAGGCAAACUCUCAUUGUCACUUGAGUUUCCGGUCUCUUUCUAAGUGGGUCAUUUGCAAAGUGUGACUGUUCAUAUUUAUUCAGUCGCAUGAUAGCAGCCAUUAUUUAAGGUCAGCAGAGAAACUUUUUAGCGUAUGUCUGUCAUUCCCAACUUGAUCUAGGUUACAAACAUUAAUCUCUGCAAAAAGAUGGAAUUACAUUUCGGGCAAAAGUCUCAAUGUUUUCUUAAGUGGAAGUAUAUAUAAUGAGUCCAUAACUGAAAGAUUUUAUUGAUUGCGUAUAUAAUGCAGAGACAAAGGGAUUGUUCAAAGUUCAAACAUAUAAUAGUUACUACUUCCAAUAUAUACUCAUUUUGUUUUUUCUUCUACUUUAGUUCCUUCUCCUCGCAACAAGAACAAAAGCUAAAAUUAACAUUCUAAAGCAGAUCCAUUUUCAAUCCAUGGACAUGACCAUUGUUGAUGUCACACCUGGAUAUCGCGACAAUCACUUAAAAAAUAUCACUCCAUUGGAAAGAAAACCAGAUAUCCGAUAUCUUGUUUUUUUAAGGAAAAUUGCCUUGUUCAAGGAGUCAUCACCUAGUAUUAUGGAUACUAGAAACCAUAACUGGUCAACAGUGAUUCUAUGGUACGAGAUUGGUUACGUAAAAAAAAAGAUGCUGUCACCCUCUAAGCAUCCUACCUAAGGCAGGCUACAUUGCUGGAUUUGUCUAAAAUUGCUAAGAAUUUGUUCUCCUUUUUCCCUUUUUAUAUUCUUCCUUUCAUGUUCCUGACUCUAGCAUCAGUGAACAAUUUCUACGAAUAUUUUCAACUCUAGCAUUGGUAAAUAUUGCAUAAAUCCAAAAAAUACGAUACUCUUGACUCUGGUGUCAAUGAAUAUUUUUGAAAAAAUGAACUUGAAGAAGAAAUUUUCAAUGUCAUUUUUUCUUGUUUAUCCUUUAUUAUUAUUUGUUCUUUUUAGACGGAAAUUAAAAAAAAAAAAACAUUGCACUAUAGAUUUGCAUUUAACAAUAAUAGGCCACAAAUUGAGCACAUAACUUUAAAAUUACAAAACGCCAAGAAAAAAAAAAUAAAUCAAAGUGCGAGGGGCCCACAAAUAAAUCAAUAAAGAUCCCCAAAUAUUUUUAGAAUUUUCUGAUAUCGAAAAGAGACUCGUUUGACCAAUUAUCAAACUAAAAUGGGCAUAAAAAUUAUGGCCAAGGUAUAAGGAUGUGUUUUGCCAAACACAUCCUUAGCAAACACAAUGUGCCGUUUGGGCCAAAAAACCUAGACCCAACCAAUUUUUUUUUUUUUUGGGGGGGGUUGGGUCUAGCCCAACCCUCUAGGUUGGAAUAAACCCAGCAGCACCGCCCGGUUACCCGAUUGGUUUAAUCUUUAGCUGCAAGUGUCAUGCCUCAAGCAUGCUUGCUACAGAUCCUAGGUAAUUAAAUCGCAAAAUGAAUAGUCUAAUGAAUUAAAAUGAGAGCGGGGAGAGACAGAAGACUUACAUGGUUUGCAGAGAAUUCACGCGAUAUUGAAGACACUGGGUGAAGUUCCCAUCUUCAAGUUCUCUCCUGUUUCUUGUUCUUUCCUUUUCUCUCUCUCUCUCUCGUCUCUUCUGUUUCUUUUUUUUUUCUCUCUCUCUUAUAGAUACUCAUUUUCUUUUCUUUUCGUUGUUCUCUCCCAUUUUUUUCCCUCUGUUUUCUGCGUUUUUCCUCUUCGUGUUUUUUGUGAUUCCCCCGUCCUGGUUCUGUUGAUUGUUGUGUAUUUAUAGGGAGCAAUCUUCCUCUCCCUCAGCCUAACAUCUCUCAUCCCGAUAAGCACGGCUAAGAGAGGCGGUUCCUGCUAGGACUCGGA
rnacentral:lncRNA from 1 species